GUGAGGAAUCUUCCACAAUGGGCGAAAGCCUGAUGGAGCAACGCCGCGUGAAGGAUGAAGGUCUUCGGAUUGUAAACUUCUUUUAUGAGUGAAGAAUAUGACGGUAACUCAUGAAUAAGCACCGGCUAACUACGUGCCAGCAGCCGCGGUCAUACGUAGGGUGCAAGCAUUAUCCGGAGUGACUGGGCGUAAAGAGUUGCGUAGGCGGUUAUGUAAGCGAAUAGUGAAACCUGGUGGCUCAACCACACAGACUAUUAUUCGAACUGCAUAACUCGAGAAUGGUAGAGGUAACUGGAAUUUCUUGUGUAGGAGUGAAAUCCGUAGAUAUAAGAAGGAACACCAAUGGCGUAGGCAGGUUACUGUGCCAUUUCUGACGCUAAGGCACGAAAGCGUGGGGAGCGAACCGGAUUAGAUACCCUGGUAGUCC
rnacentral:rRNA from 1 species